UAUUUUGCCCUCACACAAAUGUUGUUUAUUUUGAAUAGUAAUGCCUUAUGAUCAUCCUUACGUCAUUAAUGUGCGCCUUUCUUUACGCGAAAAAUAAACAACCGUUAAUGUCCACAAAUAAGAAUAUGUUAACGUGAAACAUGGCACCUUUAAAACAAACCGCUGAAACUAAAGGUCCGAUUAAAGGAAAAUACUUAAAUAACAUGUGUCCACAUGGUGGUUUAACACACAACGGCAAAAAGAAAAUAAAAUGGGUUCCAGAGAGCAAAGUUUUUGAUGGUAGUGUAAAAGAAGACUCCAUUCAUCCAAAGGAAGCAGAAAAUGUCAUUGUAUCAGAAGACAAAGCAAGAAUAUGAAAGGAUAAAGGAGGUAUGUGCAAGAAAACGAGAGGAAUUCUUGAAAGACAAGCUCAGCGAGAGGAUGCUGUGAAAAAAAAUAUAAGAAGAAAAUAGCAACCUAUCAGUUGUUGAAGAUAAAAACUAAGAAAGGUCAGCCCAACCUCAAUCUGCAUAUGGAGCUAUUGCUGCAAAAGAUUCAAGCUCAGCACAAAUAAUUCACCAUCAAACAUAAAAUGAGACUGUUUAAAGUUAAAAUAGACCAUCACACAAUAAACUCUGCAGUUUGGGUGA